rnacentral:rRNA from 1 species
GACGAACGCUGGCGGCGUGCUUAACACAUGCAAGUCGAACGGAAAGGCCCUGCUUUUGUGGGGUGCUCGAGUGGCGAACGGGUGAGUAACACGUGAGUAACCUGCCCUUGACUUUGGGAUAACUUCAGGAAACUGGGGCUAAUACCGGAUAGGAGCUCCUGCUGCAUGGUGGGGGUUGGAAAGUUUCGGCGGUUGGGGAUGGACUCGCGGCUUAUCAGCUUGUUGGUGGGGUAGUGGCUUACCAAGGCUUUGACGGGUAGCCGGCCUGAGAGGGUGACCGGCCACAUUGGGACUGAGGUACGGCCCUGACUCCUACGGGAGGCAGCAGUGGGGAAUAUUGCACAAUGGGCGGAAGCCUGAUGCAGCAACGCCGCGUGCGGGAUGACGGCCUUCGGGUUGUAAACCGCUUUCGCCUGUGACGAAGCGUGAGUGACGGUAAUGGGUAAAGAAGCACCGGCUAACUACGUG